rnacentral:rRNA from 1 species
GAUGAACGCUAGCGGCAGGCUUAACACAUGCAAGUCGAGGGGUAGAGUUAGCUUGCUAACUUGAGACCGGCGCACGGGUGCGUAACGCGUAUGCAACCUACCUUGUACAGAGGGAUAGCCCAGAGAAAUUUGGAUUAAUACCUCAUAGUAUCUUCGGAAGGCAUCUUCUGAUUAUUAAAGUUCCAACGGUACAAGAUGAGCAUGCGUCCCAUUAGCUAGAUGGUAAGGUAACGGCUUACCAUGGCAACGAUGGGUAGGGGUCCUGAGAGGGAGAUCCCCCACACUGGUACUGAGACACGGACCAGACUCCUACGGGAGGCAGCAGUGAGGAAUAUUGGUCAAUGGGCGCAAGCCUGAACCAGCCAUGCCGCGUGCAGGAAGACGGUCCUAUGGAUUGUAAACUGCUUUUAUACGGGAAGAAACACUGCUACGUGUAGCAGCUUGACGGUACCGUAAGAAUAAGCAUCGGCUAACUCCGUGCCAGCAGCCGCAGUAAGAC